AUCUCUCUAUCUUCUUCUCUCUCUCCUUUCUUCACAAAAGAGAAAUCCCUCAAACUUGGAGAAAUCCCUAACCCGUCGCCUAUUCCUUCUCAUGCCAUCCCCGUCCUCUAUUCGCCGCUGGUUAGCCGCCCUCUGUCACGACACAGCAGCUGCACCGAGCAGCCAUCACCGUCGCUGUCAUCGCUGUUCCGAGCAGCCAUCGCCGCUGGUUCGCGCUGUUGCCGCUGCUGCCUCCUCGACGGAAGGACGCUGCUGUCACCGGGAAAAGGGCGACACCGCGGCUCGUCGUAGUGGGAGGGCCAGCCGCCGGGGCGCUGCUGCCGCCACAACUCGUCCAGCAACCUCCCUCCACUGCCGGCGACUUCCCUUCCCCGCCAACACUCCGAACUACCCCGAUUCAACCCGCAAUUACGUUCUCAAAACAAAGUUAAGUUCUUUCGGGCUUUUGAUUACAUACGGCGAAUGUUCGAUUAGUUUCGAUUGUUGAUUGUUAACUUGUUGAAUUGGUUAUGGAAGUGAAAAUAUGAACAACAUAUAUGCAUAGCAACUAUCUACUCAUGCUUUGGGAUUGAGAAGGGAGUAUACCUCCAAAUUGGUUGGUCUUGGUGGUGAAUGGACAAGAAUGUGUAAUGUGAGGAGGAGAGUUUGAAAGGCUAAAGUAGUGGCUUUGGGGUGACUCUUGGAUGGAAGCAUUGAUGGUGGAAGAGGGAAGGUGAAAGAGUUGGAGAAGAUGAAAAGUGGAAAGUCUCCAUGGUUGGGGUGGUCGGCCGAGAGGGAAGAAGGGGAGGAAAGAAAAAAAUGUGGGGCUUGUUCCCAUUUGUUUGGAGGAAAAAUUGGGCUCAACAUAAUUUAUGUGUUGUUGGGCUCAAGUUAUUGUAAGCCCAUAUUGAAAAUAUUAUUAUUUAGUUAAACUUUUUGAAAAGUUAGGGUCCAAGCUAUUUUGUAGAUAGACAAUUGGACUCUAAUUAAAUUUGCAAAGCCCAACAUAAAAUUCAUACUUUAUAUUUUCGUA